UACGGAGGGUGCAAGCGUUAUCCGGAUUUACUGGGUUUAAAGGGUGCGCAGGUGGACAGGAAAGUCAGUGGUGAAAUCUUCGAGCUUAACUCGGAAACUGCCAUUGAUACUAUUUGUCUUGAGUACUUUGGAGGUAAGCGGAAUAUGUCAUGUAGCGGUGAAAUGCUUAGAUAUGACAUAGAACACCAAUUGCGAAGGCAGCUUACUACACAGUUAUUGACACUGAGGCACGAAAGCGUGGGGAUCAAACAGG
rnacentral:rRNA from 1 species